UACGGGGGGUGCGAGCGUUGUCCGGAUUCACUGGGCGUAAAGGGCGCGUAGGCGGCCGGGUCAGUCGGGCCUGUAAGUGCGGGGCUCAACCCCGUGAUGGGCUCGGGACGGCCCGGCUGGGCCGCGGUCGAGGGAGACGGAAUGCCGGGUGUAGUGGUGAAAUGCGUAGAGAUCCGGCGGAACACCGGUGGUGAAGACGGUCUCCUGGGCCGUAACUGACACUGAGACACGAAAGCGUGGGUAGCAAACAGG
rnacentral:rRNA from 1 species